GAUGAACGCUGGCGGCGUGCCUAAUACAUGCAAGUCGAGCGAACGGACGAGAAGCUUGCUUCUCUGAUGUUAGCGGCGGACGGGUGAGUAACACGUGGAUAACCUACCUAUAAGACUGGGAUAACUUCGGGAAACCGGAGCUAAUACCGGAUAAUAUUUUGAACCGCAUGGUUCAAAAGUGAAAGACGGUCUUGCUGUCACUUAUAGAUGAUCCGCGCUGCAUUAGCUAGUUGGUAAGGUAACGGCUUACCGAGGCAACGAUGCAUAGCCGACCUGAGAGGGUGAUCGGCCACACUGGAACUGAGACACGGUCCAGACUCCUACGGGAGGCAGCAGUAGGGAAUCUUCCGCAAUGGGCGAAAGCCUGACGGAGCAACGCCGCGUGAGUGAUGAAGGUCUUCGGAUCGUAAAACUCUGUUAUUAGGGAAGAACAUAUGUGUAAGUAACUGUGCACAUCUUGACGGUACCUAAUCAGAAAGCCACGGCUAACUACGUG
rnacentral:rRNA from 1 species